AGUGAACGCUGGCGGUAGGCCUAACACAUGCAAGUCGAACGGCAGCACAGUAAGAGCUUGCUCUUACGGGUGGCGAGUGGCGGACGGGUGAGGAAUACAUCGGAAUCUACUUUUUCGUGGGGGAUAACGUAGGGAAACUUACGCUAAUACCGCAUACGACCUACGGGUGAAAGCAGGGGAUCUUCGGACCUUGCGCGAUUGAAUGAGCCGAUGUCGGAUUAGCUAGUUGGCGGGGUAAAGGCCCACCAAGGCGACGCUCCGUAGCUGGUCUGAGAGGAUGAUCGGCCACACUGGAACUGAGACACGGUCCAGACUCCUACGGGAGGCAGCAGUGGGGAAUAUUGGACAAUGGGCGCAAGCCUGAUCCAGCCAUACCGCGUGAGUGAAGAAGGCCUUCGGGUUGUAAAGCCCUUUUGUUGGGAAAGAAAAGCAGCAGGUUAAUACCCCGCUGUUCUGACGGUACCCAAAGAAUAAGCACCGGCUAACUUCGUG
rnacentral:rRNA from 1 species